GUGCCCUACGCUCAAAAGGAAAUCAUGUUUCCCCCAAGUCCCUCUAGGAGUUGGAGGGAAAUAUCUGAAUCAACUGAGGGGAACAGAGUGCAGUCACCACCUCUGCACCUCUGAGAGCAGUGAGUGUCUGUGAGCAAUGCCCACUGUAGGCAACGUGCUGGGAAGGAAACAGACCGGCCUCGUGGGCCUCCACCCUGGGCUUCCGCUGAAGCCUCUUAAUUCUUGUGCUGUGGGAAAGACUGGGGCUAGAGUGCCUUCAUCCUUGUUUAGAAGGGGCAGCUGUCAAGGCAGCUGUCAGGACUGCACUGCUCACGUCCCAGGAGACCACACAAAAUGUAUCACCCUGGUCCUUUUGGCCAACAUGCCAUUUCCAGGCUUGGAAGAUGGGGAGGCACCCAGCUCACCAUGUCCCAGACUCGUGCAAAUACUGGGGUUUUGAAGAUAUUCUGGGUCGUAAUUUGGAUUCAGAAUUUUACACCUGUUUGUUUUUCCCAAAAGUGCAGCCACACCUUAAUUUCAUUCUGAAAAUGCUACACAAGUCCCCCAGCCUUGGCAUAGCUUGUCUACACCUGCUGAGUCAGCUGGAUAGUUAGCCAAGAAUUCAGGUAGGCCAUUGUCUGAGAAAUCUGGUUCGCACGAGUCACUCACUGGGAUGCCAGUGAAGCGAGUUGGGACCUUGGCUCUGCCACCAAAUCACCAAGCAUCCUCUCACCUGUUUUCAUCUUACUCAAAUAAGAAAGAUAAUAUCUCAUUUCAAAAUUCUCAGGGCCCGAGAAAAGAACGACCUAACAAAAAAAGAGUCCCCCCAGUUAAAAAAUAACCAUAGUUACAGUAACCACAGGGAAAAAUAUACUUUACAUAAGAGGAGCUUAUGUUUGGGGACCAGUCAUCUUCUGUCUUAGAAGCAGUAUGAGCAAGGAUAUUGAAGGAGCUAAAAGCAUAAAGAUAGAUAUUUGGAAGUCAAGAUCAACUCCCCAGUCCUCUUUGCUCCUGUGAAUGUAAAAGAGGAACAGGGCAUCUGGCAGAAUGCAGCAUCCACUCACAAAUCUAGAAUAAGGAUUCCUUGGACACCUGGCUCUCCAGCAAGUCAGCUAGAGGGAAGGCUUCUAUCACUUACAGCAAAGUACCUAAAUUCCUAAAAAGCAGAUAAUGUCUCCAGGGGACAAAAGUCACUGAAGACCAACUCAUUCGCAAAUGAGUUUCUUUCCGUUUCUUUCUGUUCGGGGUUGGGGGGAGUCAUUUAUGCCUCCUUCCUUCCUCCUCCCCCCCACCCCGCUUCCUCCCUCCUACCUUCUUUUUUCUCUUCUUUCCUCCCUCCCUUCACAAACAUUUUCAGAGUCCCUGCGCUGUGCCAGGCGCUACACUGGGCACCAAAGAUACCAUGAUAAUAAGAUCUGAUCUCUGUGCCCAGGGAAUUAAAAUCUAACAGUGAAAGACAAUUACAGCCCCCUCCUGUUCCAGCUCCAGCUUCUGGCUGCCCAAGCCAGACCCACCUCAUUAAGCCAUUCCCAGAUUCCUGACCCACAAAGCCGUGACAGAUAACAAAGUGACUGCUGUCAUUUGAAGCCACUAAGUUUCAAACUUACACAGCAACAGGUGACUGGAGCCCUCUCCUUCCCCAGCCUCCCUACCCUCUCCAUGCUCACCUUCUCCCUGGACCCUCUGGACCCUCCCCUCCCCACCAGCCUGCUCCUGCCCACUCCUGUGUGCCUUAAGGUGCUCUACCUUAGACCCCCUCUUCUCUAGAAGGACACCCCUGAUGCCCUAACUCCUGACCAUGCACCACGCUUUCCAAGUCCACCAGCAUGUUGUGUUUCUCCCAGCCCAGCCCAUGCUGUAAUUGUCUGUUUAACUGUUUGUCUUUCUCGCCCCCUCAAUGCUCACUUCUGGAGGGAGGGACCUUGCCUGUCCUCACUCAUCCCCAGCAGCUAAUAUGGUGCCAGGCCCAAGGUAGGCCAUAGGUAAACAUCACUGAAUUCCAUGGAAUUCUUAUUCUAAAUUCUAAAAAGGAUCUUUUGGGAGAAGAAAUCCAUGUCAUUUUGACCUUAUUUCCUCACUUUCCAAACUAGUUGUUAAUACUAACUAGAUGAGUUAAGCCAGUCCCACACCAGAACAGGCACUCUGCUCCCCUGAUCCUGUGAGAUGUGCAGCUGUGGGGGCUGUAGCCCCACAAAUGGGGUCUCAGGCACCCAAGGCCCAGGAACAGAUGUUCCAUGAUGUAAGCCAUAAGUCAGCAUUCACACUUAACUAAUGUUCUUUGAUGAGAAAUUCCAGGCCUGCCAACAGAAGGAGGCCAAAAGGGUCAACCCAGGACUCACAACAACAUCCAAAACCCAAGUUAGAACCAAAUUAUUAUUUGGUCUUGUGAUGAUAAAAUGAUGAGGACAUUAGACAAGUUGUAUUAAGUGAAAGUGCUGAGUGUACCUGAAUUCUACUUACUGACACAGGGAGGACUCAGCAUCAGACCACAGUCUUCUGAAGUAUUUCAUCAUGUUUGACUGCCAAGUGGUAAGGCCAGGUUAGUACCGAUGGGGUUUUAACCCUUAAGUCACCUAAGAAAAAUCGAGGGUGCUCUCCUUUAGGACAAGGAGGAUAAAUUAAGCCGGUUAUCUCUCUUCUCAUCUCCCCUCAAAGUGUCUACAGUUCCAUAGAUGGAGAAAUAAAUAUUAUUACAAGAAAAAAAAAUGGCUCUAAAAGGUAAAUAACAUCACCACCUAAGGUGUCCACACAUCCAGGUUUAACUCUCUAAGUAGGAUUUGAAUAUUAUCAAGCAUGGAAGAGCUUUAGAAAAUUCUAGAGGAGACACUGUUGGACAUCUUCACAUCUCAAUUAAUUUCUCUAUGAGUUUUUGAAACAGGGUGACUCUGAAGGUUGUUGGGAAGUCAGAUCAGCCACUAAGAUUUUCAUGUUGCCAAAAGUUCCAACAGUUUCCUCUGAGUAUGUUCGUGAGGCUUCAAAAACUUAAAACUAGUUGACCCCAGCUAAGCACAUUUGUUAAAGGAACACUGACAUGUUAUCUUUUCUGAUAACAUGUCCAGCCCCAGGGGAGACCUUUCCCUCUUAUACUCUGCAUGGCAAGGGGGAGAGGGGGCAGGGAAGAAGCCACCAGAAGCCAGGAGGGAGGAAGGAAGAAGCCAUAUGCAAUCCCCUCCAAAAACGUCUACCACAUGCUUGAAUCUAAUCUGAAUCCUCCAGGCUGUUGGCAGCAGAUGCUAAGAGAAAGGGUUUUUCUAAGUAAAUCUGAGCUCAUGUUGAUGGCCCUCGUCUAAAAUAACUCUCAGUGCAACUCCCUUCUCUCUGCUGCUUGAGCAGGGACUCCAGCAAACCAGAAGAGAUGUGUCCUUCCAAGGACAUUGGAAACAUUGGAUGUGUCCCUCCAAGGACAUUGGAAAACACUGUAUUCUCUUAGUACAAAAGAAGUUUUCAGAAGUUGAUCAUAAUUGCAAAAAUUAAGGGCCGCAUGUGCACGUUCGGGAAGUUCUAUGUGUUCCGUGCCAUGGAUUUGUGGCCUGUGACGUCCAAAGUCCACUGAUGGGUUGUCCUAGUUCCUCAAUGCUUCUGCACGGGUGGGCUGGAGGAAAGUCGUUAGCAAGCUGCUUCCUCAUCUGUGGCUUCUUAGGUGUACUGCGAAACAAGCUUUAGAGAUCAUGGUUACUCCUACAUCCUACCUGGCACACUGGCCUCCUGCUCUUCCUCUGAUGCUGCGACCUCAGGGCAUUUGCACUGGCUGCACUGGCUGUUUCUUUUGCUGAGAAUGUUCUUCACCAGACAUCCACUUGGCUCCUUCAUGCCCCUCCUUCAAGGUUUCUCUCCUAUUGCAACUUCUGGCCCAAGCCUACUCUGAUUACCCCACUUAAUGCUGAAAUGUGCCUACCUCCCGCCCCAUGCCAGCCCCCUCCUCUAUUCUUCUUUGUUACCUUUUCCACAGUUUUGUCACCUGCUAACACACCGUGUAAUUUAGGAUUAAAUCAUGUCUAAUAUUUAUUGUCUCUUUCCCUAUGAAAAUAUAAGCCACAGG